GCCAUCUAAAUUUCCCACAAUGCCUCCAGCUGGAGCUUUGCAGGAAAUUAAACAUGUGGCUUUCAGAUAUCCAUUGCAGGCUACCUUUAGAAGAAAGGGUGGGAUAUAAAUUCAGUAAGUAAAGUAAAAACAAAAAAACCUGAUAGUGAUUGGAGGCCUACUGCUUUGUGUCAUUGCGGCUACCAGUCAAGCCGGUCAGGAAGGCCACUGAUUUAAGAGGGCAGUUUGCUAAGGGCCCCCUCAAACUUGGAACUAGUCCAGGAACAAACAGAUCAUUUAUGCUGCUGUGAGAAGAAUAUAAUUGGGAUAGAUAUUGGGUGCAUGGUAUUGCACACCUAUAAACACACACCAUCCAGGUGGGGCGUCUUAUUCCUGGUGUUACAAGGGCUGCCGUAAGCCGCCUUUUCCUAGCCGCAUUCCAUAUACGGACUUUAAAAUGUUUCAGAAG